GCCGGCCUAGCUCAAUUGGUAGAGCAACUGACUUGUAAUCAGUAGGUUUGGGGUUCAAGUCCUCUGGCCGGCACCA
rnacentral:tRNA from 5 species